rnacentral:tRNA from 2 species
GGGCCCGUAGUGUAGCCCGGUUUAACACGCCUGCCUGUCACGCAGGAGAUCGCCGGUUCAAAUCCGGUCGGGCCCG